rnacentral:rRNA from 1 species
UACGUAGGGUGCAAGCGUUUGUCCGGAAUUAUUGGGCGUAAAGAGCUCGUAGGCGGUCUGUUGCGUCGGCUGUGAAAACCCGGGGCUCAACUCCGGGCCUGCAGCCGAUACGGGCAGACUAGAGUUCGGCAGGGGAGACUGGAAUUCCUGGUGUAGCGGUGAAAUGCGCAGAUAUCAGGAGGAACACCGAUGGCGAAGGCAGGUCUCUGGGCAUUAACUGACGCUGAGGAGCGAAAGCAUGGGGAGCGAACAGG